GACGAACCGUACGAACGUUAUUCGGAAUCACUGGGCUUAAAGGGUGCGUAGGCUGCGCGGAAAGUUGGGUGUGAAAUCCCUCGGCUCAACCGAGGAACUGCGCCCAAAACUGCCGUGCUCGAGGGAGACAGAGGUGAGCGGAACUUAGGGUGGAGCGGCGAAAUGCGUUGAUAUCCUAAGGAACACCGGUGGCGAAAGCGGCUCACUGGGUCUCGUUCUGACGCUGAGGCACGAAAGCUAGGGUAGCGAACGGG
rnacentral:rRNA from 1 species